rnacentral:rRNA from 1 species
UGGGGAAUUUUCCGCAAUGGGCGCAAGCCUGACGGAGCAAUACCGCGUGAGCGAAGAAGGCCUUAGGGUUGUAAAGCUCUUUCAGCUGGGAAGAUAAUGACGGUACCAGCAGAAGAAGCCCCGGCUAACUCCGUGCCAGCAGCCGCGGUAAUACGGAGGGGGCUAGCGUUGUUCGGAAUUACUGGGCGUAAAGCGCACGUAGGCGGAUCAGUCAGUCAGGGGUGAAAUCCCGGGGCUCAACCCCGGAACUGCCUUUGAUACUGCUGGUCUUGAGGAUGAGAGAGGCGAGUGGAAUUCCGAGUGUAGAGGUGAAAUUCGUAGAUAUUCGGAGGAACACCAGUGGCGAAGGCGGCUCGCUGGCUCAUUUCUGACGCUGAGGUGCGAAAGCGUGGGGAGCAAACAGGAUUAGAUACCCCCGUAGUCC